rnacentral:lncRNA from 1 species
UGGGUCAUAUAUAUUGAAUAUUAUGUUGAUUUAGUAAAUAUAUGAAUACUUUGUACAACUUAUAGAAGGUGAUUUACAAGUCAAAAAGUAUAUUUUGAAACUGAAAAUGCUUUCAUAUACACAGAAAUAAAAAAUAAAUUAAGUUUUUAGUAGUGGGUUUCAUUACGGACACGUUUCUACUGUAGGACAAUGAUCACAAUAAUCCUUUUCUAAACUGACGCAAAGACUAGCUGGGCAUGCAUUAACGCAUGGUUCUUUCUCUACACAAGUCACAAAUCUAUGACAGGUUGUCGGAUUGUGAUAUUUGUAAGUUGUGGUAAAGUUAUAAUUUUGGUAACAAAAGUCUUC